UGGAAAACCGAUUCUAGGAUCUUCAAAAAAAAAUGUCGAGGCAGCCAGCGAAGGAAUGCCAGAGUAGGAGUUACUGUAUGUGCUCCCUCGUACGAGUACCAGUGAAGAAGCCAGCAGCGGCAUUCUGGAGCAACUGGAGACGCCUGACGGAGGAUUGGCUGACUCCAAAGUAAGCUUUUACAAAGCUUGCUGCUGAGUGAUCACUUGAAGAGGGUGGGAAACAACUGAACCAGGCCGGACCGGCCGGGUACUCUCCAGGACGGGACUCGGGCAACCCUGCUUGAAAGUGCCUGGGUUGUUUACUAAAACCAGCUCAGGUUCCUUGAAUCGUGUCACUUGUUUUCUAUUUUUCCAGGGGGAAAAAAUGGAAAUUGCAGACGGUGGAAAGAGGAUCACGGUCACAUGCAACGUGACGAUACCUGAAAAAUGCCUCGUGUGACUUAAUUCAGAAACGUGAUCACAUCGCUCCUGUCAGAGAAACAAGACGUGGCCGUCGAAGCAGCAGUCUUUGAAGACCCCAGGCAUCCAGACUGGUUCAGGCCACCCGUGAGAAAGGCUCCUUUUCUCUUCUGCAAGGUGAACAACUCCGAACACGUCGCAACUUAAGUCGUCAACGCCGUCACCUCGAAGCCAAAAGGCUCCGGACUGGGUUGAGGAGGAUGAGACAUGACCGUUGAUUUAAUCACUUGUACCUCUUCAGCGCAGGUGAAUAAAGGAAAUACACUAACACUGUAUGCCAUUGCACCCUCCAAAGCAUCUGCAAGGUAUGUUUGCCAACCAUCCAGCCGCACCAAUGCAAACUGUCCAACAGCGCCGACAACUCCGCUGAACAAAACAGGACUGUGAAAAAUGCUCCCCAUGACGGGCACGCAAAACACAAGCGCCUCGGGGCUGUCCAGCGGCCACAGUCAAAUUCCUCCCAGUCAAAAUCGGGCCGGCUCACGCGUACUGCCGAGAAGGCGCAACCACCAAGCGAAGAGUCUUCCCCUUGGACGACUGUCGUGGCCAAAACGCUGAGAACUGUCCACAACAGGUCCACACCAAAGACAACAAACACCAUGUGACAAAAACAAC